rnacentral:rRNA from 1 species
AGUGAACGCUGGCGGUAGGCCUAACACAUGCAAGUCGAACGGCAGCACAGUAAGAGCUUGCUCUUACGGGUGGCGAGUGGCGGACGGGUGAGGAAUACAUCGGAAUCUACUUUUUCGUGGGGGAUAACGUAGGGAAACUUACGCUAAUACCGCAUACGACCUACGGGUGAAAGCAGGGGAUCUUCGGACCUUGCGCGAUUGAAUGAGCCGAUGUCGGAUUAGCUAGUUGGCGGGGUAAAGGCCCACCAAGGCGACGAUCCGUAGCUGGUCUGAGAGGAUGAUCAGCCACACUGGAACUGAGACACGGUCCAGACUCCUACGGGAGGCAGCAGUGGGGAAUAUUGGACAGUGGGCGCAAGCCUGGUCCAGCCAUACCGCGUGAGUGAAGAAGGCCUUCGGGUUGUAAAGCCCUGUUGUUGGGAAAGAAAAGCAGCAGGUUAAGACCCCGCUGUUCUGACGGUACCCAAAGAAUAAGCACCGGCUAACUUCGUG